rnacentral:rRNA from 1 species
AUUGAACGCUGGCGGCAUGCUUUACACAUGCAAGUCGAACGGCAGCGAGAGAGAAGCUUGCUUCUCUUGUCGGCGAGUGGCGAACGGGUGAGUAACACAUCGGAACGUACCCUGUAGUGGGGGAUAACUACUCGAAAGAGUAGCUAAUACCGCAUACAACCUGAGGGUAAAAGUGGGGGACCGCAAGGCCUCACGCUAUAGGAGCGGCCGAUGGAAGAUUAGCUAGUUGGUAGGGUAAAGGCCUACCAAGGCGACGAUCUUUAGCGGGUCUGAGAGGACGAUCCGCCACACUGGGACUGAGACACGGCCCAGACUCCUACGGGAGGCAGCAGUGGGGAAUUUUGGACAAUGGGCGAAAGCCUGAUCCAGCAAUGCCGCGUGAGUGAAGAAGGCC